rnacentral:rRNA from 1 species
GACGAACGCUGGCGGCGGGCUUAACACAUGCAAGUCGAACGGAAAGGCCCUGCGCUUGUGUGGUGCUCGAGUGGCGAACGGGUGAGUAACACGUGAGUAACCUGCCCUUGACUGUGGGAUAACUUCAGGAAACUGGGGCUAAUACCGGAUAGGAGCUCCUGCUGCAUGGUGGGGGUUGGAAAGUUUCGGCGGGUGGGGAUGGACUCGCGGCUUAUUAGCUUGUUGGUGGGGGAGUGGCUUACCAAGGCUUUGACGGGUAGACGGCCUGAGAGGGUGAACGGCCACAUUGGGACUACGAUACGGCCCAGACUCCUACGGGAGGCAGCGGUGGGGAAUAUAACACUAUGGGCGGAAGGCUGAGGCAGGGACGCCGCGUGCGGGAUGACGGCCUUCGGGUUGUAAACCGCUUUCGCCUGUGACGAAGCGUGAGUGACGGUAAUGGGUGAAGAAGCACCGGCUAACUACGUG